CUACUGCUGAGGAGUCCCAGGAUAGGACGAAACGGCCGUUCAGUGC
rfam:Schistosoma mansoni, Puerto Rico, WGS project CABG01000000 data, contig: 0242